rnacentral:rRNA from 1 species
AAGAAGCACCGGCUAACUCCGUGCCAGCAGCCGCGGUAAUACGGAGGGUGCGAGCGUUAAUCGGAAUUACUGGGCGUAAAGCGCACGCAGGCGGUUAUAUAAGCUAGAUGUGAAAGCCCCGGGCUCAACCUGGGAAUAGCAUUUAGAACUGUAUGACUAGAGUCUUGGAGAGGGGAGUGGAAUUCCAGGUGUAGCGGUGAAAUGCGUAGAUAUCUGGAGGAACAUCAGUGGCGAAGGCGACUCCCUGGCCAAAGACUGACGCUCAUGUGCGAAAGUGUGGGUAGCGAACAGGAUUAGAUACCCUGGUAGUCCACGCCGUAAACGAUGUCUACUUGGAGGUUGUGGCCUUGAGCCGUGGCUUUCGGAGCUAACGCGUUAAGUAGACCGCCUGGGGAGUACGGUCGCAAGAUUAAAACUCAAAUGAAUUGACGGGGGCCCGCACAAGCGGUGGAGCAUGUGGUUUAAUUCGAUGCAACGCGAAGAACCUUACCUACUCUUGACAUCCAGAGAAGCCAGCGGAGACGCAGGUGUGCCUUCGGGAGCUCUGAGACAGGUGCUGCAUGGCUGUCGUCAGCUC